CCUACGGGAGGCAGCAGUGAGGAAUAUUGGUCAAUGGCCGGGAGGCUGAACCAGCCAAGUCGCGUGAGGGAAGACGGCCCUACGGGUUGUAAACCUCUUUUGUCAGGGAGCAAGGUGCAGGUCGGGACCGGCUGUGAGAGUACCUGAAGAAAAAGCAUCGGCUAACUCCGUGCCAGCAGCCGCGGUAAUACGGAGGAGGCGAGCGUUAUCCGGAUUUAUUGGGUUUCACGGGUGCGCAGGCGGAGGCACAAGUCAGCGGUAAAAUCGCGGGGCUCAACCCCGCUCCGCCGUUGAAACUGUGUCCCUUGCGUGCGCGCCGGGUAGGCGGAAUGCGUGUUGUAGCGG
rnacentral:rRNA from 1 species